AAAAAAUAAAUAAAUACAUGCCAGGGGCUUGUAUCUAGUGAAAAGAGCGCAAAAUAAAACAAAAACAAAAGCAAAACCUACAGGCCUUGCUUCUGGCGGGAGGGGCCCCUUGGGAGCUGGAGACCUGAGCUCAGUUCAGGUCUUCCUCCUCAUCAUCAUCAUCCAAGCCGCCAUCUUUCCCCAAGCUCUUCAUGACCUCACUCUCCACCAUGGAGCUGUCUACCACCACAAUCUGCUCUGGGAUUCGGACAUCCACAGAGAGGAGGCCCAAGGAGAAGAGGGCCAGGGCUGUCACACAGUGUCCUCCAGGGCUGUCCAAAGAAAACGCCACCAGGUCACUUGAAGGGUCAUUGCUAUCCAUGUCCUUGAAAGAAAAAUGAUCAGGCUGGUCUAGUAUGCCGUUGGCCCGUAGUCUGUCAUAGAACUGGAAGGAUUCGGUGCAGACGGUGGUGGGAAAUCGCCAGGUGAAAAGCCUGCAG
rnacentral:lncRNA from 1 species